rfam:Myotis lucifugus cont2.5126, whole genome shotgun sequence.
GGUAGUUCUCAGGUGAUGCACCCUGGAAUCAGGCUCCCUCCUCUCUGGUUCCAGGUGUGUCACCCGAGAACCACA